UGACACCAGCAUAUUACACGAAGCCGAGA
rnacentral:piRNA from 1 species